GAUUGGCGGGUUCAAUUAACCGUAGAUAUGCGCUUGCAACGGGCGGUCAGGGCUGCUUUGCAAAAACAAGUUAACAAGUUCAACGCCAAACGAGGAGCCGUUAUCGUUAUGGACGCUACGGAUGGCUCGAUCUUAUCGUUGGUUU
rnacentral:tRNA from 1 species